GGGAGUGAAAAAGAACCUGAAACCGUGUACGUACAAGCAGUGGGAGCCUCUUUAUGGGGUGACUGCGUACCUUUUGUAUAAUGGGUCAGCGACUUAUAUUCUGUAGCAAGGUUAACCGAAUAGGGGAGCCGAAGGGAAACCGAGUCUUAACUGGGCGUUAAGUUGCAGGGUAUAGACCCGAAACCCGGUGAUCUAGCCAUGGGCAGGUUGAAGGUUGGGUAACACUAACUGGAGGACCGAACCGACUAAUGUUGAAAAAUUAGCGGAUGACUUGUGGCUGGGGGUGAAAGGCCAAUCAAACCGGGAGAUAGCUGGUUCUCCCCGAAAGCUAUUUAGGUAGCGCCUCGUGAAUUCAUCUCCGGGGGUAGAGCACUGUUUCGGCAAGGGGGUCAUCCCGACUUACCAACCCGAUGCAAACUGCGAAUACCGGAGAAUGUUAUCACGGGAGACACACGGCGGGUGCUAACGUCCGUCGUGAAGAGGGAAACAACCCAGACCGCCAGCUAAGGUCCCAAAGUCAUGGUUAAGUGGGAAACGAUGUGGGAAGGCCCAGACAGCCAGGAUGUUGGCUUAGAAGCAGCCAUCAUUUAAAGAAAGCGUAAUAGCUCACUGGUCGAGUCGGCCUGCGCGGAAGAUGUAACGGGGCUAAACCAUGCACCGAAGCUGCGGCAGCGACACUAUGUGUUGUUGGGUAGGGGAGCGUUCUGUAA
rnacentral:rRNA from 1 species